rnacentral:rRNA from 1 species
UACGUAGGGUGCGAGCGUUGUCCGGAUUUAUUGGGCGUAAAGAGCGUGUAGGCGGCUAGGUAGGUGGGUUGUGAAAACUGGAGGCUCAACCUUCAGACGGUCGACCCAAACCCCCUGGCUAGAGUCCGGAAGAGGAGAGUGGAAUUCCUGGUGUAGCGGUGAAAUGCGCAGAUAUCAGGAAGAACACCCGUGGCGAAGGCGGCCUCUCGGUC